rnacentral:rRNA from 1 species
UACAGAGGUCUCAAGCGUUGUUCGGAUUCAUUGGGCGUAAAGGGUGCGUAGGUGGCGGGGUAAGUCUGGUGUGAAAUCCUGGGGCUCAACCCCGGAACUGCACUGGAUACUGCUUUGCUAGAGUACUGGAGAGGGAACUGGAAUUUACGGUGUAGCAGUGAAAUGCGCAGAUAUCAGGAGGAACACCGAUGGCGAAGGCAGCUCGCUGGGACGGUACUGACGCUGAGGCGCGAAAGCGUGGGGAGCAAACAGG